rfam:Neurospora tetrasperma FGSC 2509 unplaced genomic scaffold NETTE2scaffold_6, whole genome shotgun sequence.
GGGAUUGUAGUAUAGUGGUCAGUACUUCUCGUUGUGGUUUCUCACAGCGAUCCGAGAGGACCCAGGUUCGAUUCCUGGCAAUCCCA